UGGGAACCUGCCCAUUAGUACGGAAUAACCGCGGGAAACUGCGGCUAAUACCGUAUACGCCCUUCGGGGAAGAUUUAUCGCUAAUGGAUGGGCCCGCGUCGGAUUAGCUAGUUGGUGAGGUAACGGCUCACCAAGGCGACGAUCCGUAGCUGGUCUAAGAGGAUGAUCAGCCACACUGGGACUGAGACACGGCCCAGACUCCUACGGGAGGCAG
rnacentral:rRNA from 1 species